CUACUUACCAGGCAGGGGAGAUACCUUGAUCAUGAAGGGUUCUCCCAGGGCAAGGCUCAUCCAUUCCACUCCGGGUGUGACCUCUGCAAUUUCCUCAAAUGUGAGAAACUUGAUUGCAUAGGUGGUGAUACAGAAUGAUUUCCUUGUGGGGUGUUUACUG